GGCUCAGGACGAACGCUGGCGGCGUGCCUAAUACAUGCAAGUCGAACGGUCUUUCUAUGGAAGCUUGCUUCCACUGAGAAGAUAGUGGCGAACGGGUGAGUAACACGUGGGUAACCUGCCCAUAAGAGGGGGAUAACAUCCGGAAACGGGUGCUAAUACCGCAUAGUUUUCUUGAUCGCAUGAUCGGGAAAGGAAAGACGGCCUUUGUGCUGUCGCUUAUGGAUGGACCCGCGGCGUAUUAGUUAGUUGGUGAGGUAACGGCUCACCAAGACGAUGAUACGUAGCCGACCUGAGAGGGUGAUCGGCCACAUUGGGACUGAGACACGGCCCAAACUCCUACGGGAGGCAGCAGUAGGGAAUCUUCCGCAAUGGACGAAAGUCUGACGGAGCAACGCCGCGUGAGUGAAGAAAGGUUUUCGGAUCGUAAAACUCCGUUGUCAGAGAAGAACAAGUUGGAGAGUAACUGCUCCAGCCUUGACGGUAUCUGACCAGAAAGCCACGGCUAACUACGUGCCAGCAGCAGC
rnacentral:rRNA from 1 species